rnacentral:rRNA from 1 species
UACGAAGGGGCUAGCGUUGCUCGGAAUCACUGGGCGUAAAGGGUGCGUAGGCGGGUCUUUAAGUCAGGGGUGAAAUCCUGGAGCUCAACUCCAGAACUGCCUUUGAUACUGAAGAUCUUGAGUUCGGGAGAGGUGAGUGGAACUGCGAGUGUAGAGGUGAAAUUCGUAGAUAUUCGCAAGAACACCAGUGGCGAAGGCGGCUCACUGGCCCGAUACUGACGCUGAGGCACGAAAGCGUGGGGAGCAAACGGGA